CUCCCAUAUUCCCAAAUUUCCCACCUUCCCAAAUCCCAUAUUCCAAAUUUCCCACCUUCCCAAGCUCCCACAUUCCCAAUUUUCCCACAUUCCCAGGUUCCCACCUUUCCAGGCUCCCCCCUCCCCUCCCAGGCCCAGCCUAGGAUCAUCUCCAUCCCUCUGGAAAGGCUCCAUGGAUGCAGGAUCCAUGGCUGACAGAGUUUUUGGCUGUGAGGCUGCGUCCAGGGAGGGGGAAUUGCCAGGGCAGAUCCUCCUUUUCCAGCUCCUGACUCUGCUCUUGUGUCCUGGCAGGGCCAGCCUGGACUCCCAGGGCCACCAGGGCUCCCUGGUCCUUCACUGCCAGGACCCCCCGGGCUUCCAGGCCAGGUUGGACUUCCCGGACAGAUCGGGGUGCUGGGACCCAAGGGUGAUCCCGGACCCGACGGCCCCAGAGGUCCCCCAGGCCCUCCAGGGAAACCUGGCCUCCCGGGACACCUCCAAGGCCUAGAAGGCAGCGCUGAUUUCCUGUGUCCCACCAGCUGCCCCCCAGGUCCCAAGGGCCCCCAGGGACUGCAGGGACUGAAGGUAAGGAAGUCCUGGAGCUGCUGUGGGGGGGAAAAAUGGGAAUUGUCACUUCCAGGAUGUGGUGGAGUGAAGGAUCCUUCUCUGGGAUCUCUGGAGCACCAGGACAGGGAGGCCUGGAGGAAAAGGUGCUGUGGGAAUGGUCCCUGAGGGUCCCCAGCCCCUUCCUGGGGGUGGCACCCUGUGCCAAAG
rnacentral:lncRNA from 1 species